GAGAGGCACAAGAGAGCCUGUUUGCCUGGGAGUGCAUGUUUCAAAUGCUUAGCUGCCUAUAAAGCUGUAACAGUUUAGCCUGUGGUCACUGAGGAAGAAUAUAAGUUAGCCUCGUAGUGACCAUGUGGAAGUCCUGACCUCGAUUGCAGACUUGACCUCUGGAUGUGACAAGGUAGCUUCACUACAGAUCUACCAUUUGAUCCUGGAAACUAAAAAUCAAAAAAAAAAAAAAAAAAUCUCAAAGCAAGAAAGAUGCAGACUAUUUCCUAAGAAGUCAGAAGAACCCAAUGUAUUCUGGUGGGCAAAGAAAAACAGGAAAUUGCUGAAUCAGCGAAUAGAGUGAACGAACAAUCAAGAUGAGAUGGCUGCUGCUGAUGUGACUCUCUAGGUCAUUACCUUUCUUCCUGCUGCAAAUGCUGCAUAACACUAAGCUUUCAGGAUCUAGAAGCAGACUACAAAAAAAGAGAAGAAAUUCACUCUGAAGACUGAAGAAACAAAAGGCUGAUUUUAAGUUUCUGAAAUACACUCUGUAACACUACACUAAUUCUAUGAAUCAAACCAGGACAAAGUUCAACAAAUAACUGGUCAAAUGUUUAGGAAUGUCUAUGUCCACCAAGAAUAUGGAACCAUUAAUGCCAUGCUUCAGGUAAAUUUGUUACAAAGUUUACUCUUCAAUAAAUCAGUCUCUGCAAAUGA